UCCUUCCCCUUUUAUUUGUGCCUGGGAACACAUACUUCCAAAUCUGCUAUCUUCAUGUUUCACAGUGUCCCCUUUUCUGACCCCCACCCCCACCAGUCAGCGAUUGCUAGUCACCGAGUUAAGCUGCCAAAUGGACUGUGCGUUAUGCGUGUCCGGGACGAGAGUAACCUUGACUGUAUUAGGUGAUCAAAACACCUUGAAACACAUCUGCACUGAGAGAAGUUCUCUGACUGAAGCCGUCCUGCUGCUUGUAGUAAGAAGACAUCUAGAAAGUGCUUGUUGCACGAAGCAAUCACCAAAUACCUUCUUAAGGCUGAGACAAAGACUAAAUAGAAACUGAAAAGAGCACUUGAUAAUCUCUCAGACUGCCAAAUAGCUGAAUGCAACUGCUAAUCACAAACUGAAAAAAGCUACAAGCCAUACCGAAUUAAGAGAAUUUUGUCUGCAUGGGCAAUAUGUUUUUCUGCAACAGAAAAAGUUCUAUCAUUCCUGGUAAUAGAAGUGCAGCAGUUCCACAAUGGUACAAGAUGCAACUUUCACCUUACUCACUGCACCAGCCAAAUUAUUGUAUGCAUACAAGACAUCUGACAUAGCUGCAGAGAUCUCCUUCACAGGACUAAUUCUAACUGACUGGAAAAAACCCUUUUUGUCUACAUUUUAUUUUUUUUUUUCUAAUAAUUGCAUGAGUUUUCAUCUUCAUUUAUGAAAAUAAGGGAGCCAUUUCCCCAUGGUAAUACCCUAUUCCACUGUUGUCAUAUAUAAAGCAUAGCAAUAAUUCUGAGUCAAAAAUUAGUAAAAUAAAUCAACUAUCAUAAAUCAAGUAGGAAAACAAUUAUGUUACCUGAAAGAUUUCCUAUUACCACGGAGUUUUAAUUACUUCAAAGGAGGUCAUGAUGGAUAUAUUCAAAACCAAAGAAAACCUGUAAAACAAAAGAAAAGCACUAGUCUUUAAAGGUGGUGGACCUGAAUUAUCUGAAACAGCCAAGAAUUAUCAGUGAUUCAGGGAUUAAACAUACACUGUAAAGGUCUUUACAGGUUCAGAUGGUGAAUGUUUCAAUAAUUUCUAUAAAAGAAAUCAGUUCCUUUUCAGAUUGGUAGCCAAAAUCCUAAGUCACUCCUGAAAAUGAAGGCUGAUUAUAGGAUUCACUUCAAACCCAUGUACGUCAUCAGUAAUCAGCUGAAAUUACAAAUUAGAGACAUAAUAUCACCAGUCAAGUUAAAUGUAAAUUAGAUAGAAGGAAAAAGAAUCUAAGCAGUAUCUCCUGUUUUAGAGGGAAAGCAGAAAAUAAAAGUAGAUCACUUUUUUCUCUUUUAUUUGCCUAUUUCAAUUCAAACCACUUGAUAGGUAAAUUUAAUUUUAUCAGUUUGUAAUUUAGAAAGAAGAAUAUUUCUCCCAGAUACCCUGUAGUCAAUGGAACUAAUUAAAAUUAUAUUGCUGUCACAGGGACAUACAAGAUUAUGUAUGUGGUUAUUAAUAUAUCAGAAUUGAGGAUGUAUUAGGAAAUAGAUUUAAUGGAAAGAAUCUUAAAACUUGGUUACAUAGUUAUUAUUUUUAUUUUAUUUAUGUGCUGCAGCAAACCAUAUGAUUCUGUCAAAUACUUUAAGUAGAAAGCAGAAAUAACCCACCUCAUGCUGUCAAUGUUAAAUUUCACCCUGAUGGAUGUGAAUCCUCCACAAUCAACCAUUCUGUAUUAAUCUAGGCAGUGAAUGAGUCUAGUUACUUAGUGUGAAAUCUCUGCCUUUUGUGCUAUAGAAAGUUUUGAUGUAGCCUAACUUAAGCAUGCUUUAUGACAGGAGUGAUAUGGUAUAUGUGAGCUUUCUGAUGCAUUUUUUCUCACUCUCAGUGACUGUAAUAGAUGAGUCAUCACUGGACAUUCUCUCCGGUCAUAGCCAGAACAUUCAUGCAUGGGGGAAUAUUUUCAAAUAUGCCAAUGAAAUGUAAUAAUAAUAGAAGACUCAUUUAUGAUGCUGUGGAGCUGAAUUAUGUAGAUCUUCUUGUAUCUUACUACUACUUCAGUACAUGUUCCAGAUCAAAUGCUCCUUCAAAAUCUUAAAUGCCCAUGCAUGUUCACCAUUCUGCCCAGCUUGCAGAUCCCGGAUCUAUGCAUCUGUUUUAACUAUUAAGGAAAAAAUGUUUAUGGAGAUUAUGAUUCCAAGCUCAAUAAAGGUUAGAAAUGAAA